rnacentral:rRNA from 1 species
AUUGAACGCUGGCGGCAUGCCUUACACAUGCAAGUCGAACGGUAACGGGUCCUUCGGGAUGCCGACGAGUGGCGAACGGGUGAGUAAUAUAUCGGAACGUGCCCAGUAGUGGGGGAUAACUGCUCGAAAGAGCAGCUAAUACCGCAUACGACCUGAGGGUGAAAGGGGGGGAUCGCAAGACCUCUCGCUAUUGGAGCGGCCGAUAUCAGAUUAGCUAGUUGGUGGGGUAAAGGCCUACCAAGGCAACGAUCUGUAGUUGGUCUGAGAGGACGACCAGCCACACUGGGACUGAGACACGGCCCUGACUCCUACGGGAGGCAGCAGUGGGGAAUUUUGGACAAUGGGCGCAAGCCUGAUCCAGCAAUGCCGCGUGCAGGAAGAAGGCCUUCGGGUUGUAAACUGCUUUUGUCAGGGAAGAAAUCUUCUGGGCUAAUACCCCGGGAGGAUGACGGUACCUGAAGAAUAAGCACCGGCUAACUACGUG